AAGUCGUAACAAGGUAACCGUAGGUGAACCUGCGGUUGGAUCAUUAAAAACACUUCCGGGUUGCAAAUUCAAGUAGCAAGCCGUUUCGUAUUUUUAUAUGAAAGAAGCCCUCGAAAGGGGGUAUUCAACUUACAUCUUGUGAACCGUUCUGUCUCUGGUGGGCGGGCAGUCUCUCUGAGUUCUGCUUGUCAGCACGAGUGUCUACUCGUAGCCGUGGACGACCCACCAACCCUCGGCAUUGCCGAUUAUUUUUUCACCUUUAUAGUAUUUUCAUGUCUGACAUUUACCUGUAUUUAAUACAAAAAACAACUUUUGGCAACGGAUCUCUUGGCUCUC
rnacentral:misc_RNA from 1 species